GUCUGUAUAGCUUCACGGCUGAUGAGCAGCAGGCCUUCUUUCCACACCCUUGUCUUUUGCGUACCCAUGUUUCCUCGGUAGGCUUGCCUGCCGAUUGGACAAUCUAUAACCUUUUUAAUUUUUAAUCAGCGUCUGAAAAACUUAAUAAUUACAACUUUCAACAACGGAUCUCUUGGUUCUGGCAUCGAUGAAGAACGCAGCGAAAUGCGAUAAGUAGUGUGAAUUGCAGAAUUCAGUGAAUCAUCGAAUCUUUGAACGCACAUUGCGCCCCUUGGUAUUCCAUGGGGCAUGCCUGUUCGAGCGUCAUUUGUACCUUCAAGCUUUGCUUGGUGUUGGGUGUUUGUCCUCUCCUUGGUGUUUGGACUCGCCUUAAAACAAUUGGCAGCCAGUGUUUUGGUAUUGAAGCGCAGCACAAUUUGCGAUUCUGGCCUUAAAAUACUAGCGUCCA
rnacentral:rRNA from 1 species